rnacentral:rRNA from 1 species
GACGAACGCUGGCGGCGUGCUUAACACAUGCAAGUCGAACGGAAAGGCCCCUUUGGGGGUACUCGAGUGGCGAACGGGUGAGUAACACGUGAGUAACCUGCCCUUGACUUCGGGAUAACUUCAGGAAACUGGGGCUAAUACCGGAUAGGAAUCCUUGCUGCAUGGUGGGGGUUGGAAAGCUUCGGCGGUUUUGGAUGGACUCGCGGCUUAUCAGCUUGUUGGUGGAGUAGUGGCUUACCAAGGCUUUGACGGGUAGCCGGCCUGAGAGGGCGACCGGCCACAUUGGGACUGAGAGACGGCCCAGACUCCUACGGGAGGCAGCAGUGGGGAAUAUUGCACGAUGGGCGGAAGCCUGAUGCAGCAACGCCGCGUGCGGGAUGACUGCCUUCGGGUUGUAAACCGCUUUCAGCAGGGGCGAAGCUUGUGGUGACGGUACCUGCAGAAGAAGCACCGGCUAACUACGUG